AGGAUGAACGCUGGCGGCGUGCCUAACACAUGCAAGUCGAACGUCCUGUCUCGCAAGAGGCAGGGAGUGGCGGACGGGUGAGUACCACGUGGGUCAUCUACCGUGAGGUGAGGAAUACCGGCGAGAAAUCGCCGACAAGACCGCAUAGGCUCGAUGCAAGUCGAGCAAAGCUCUCUCGCGAGAGGGAGCGCCACACGAGGAGCCUGCGCCCGAUUAGCUAGCUGGUGGAGUAACGGUUCACCAGGGCGACGAUCGGUAGCUGGUCUGAGAGGACGAUCAGCCACACUGGGAUUGAGAACGGCCCAGACUCCUACGGGGGGCAGCAGUGAGGAAUUUUCGUCAAUGGGGGCAACCCUGAACGAGCAACGCCGCGUGCAGGAAGAAGGUUUUUCGGAUCGUAAACUGCUUUUCUCGGGGAAGAGAACGGACGGUACCCGAGGAAUCAGCCCCGGCUAACUACGUGCCAGCAGCCGCGGU
rnacentral:rRNA from 1 species